rnacentral:lncRNA from 1 species
AUGACGGUCUCAGGCACUCUGACUAGAAGAAGAGAGGAAAGAACACUGACGAGAAGGGAGGGUGGGGAAGGGAAGCAGAGCACACAUAGCUUUGGUCCCUUCUUCCCCUGGGCUGUGACCUUGGCAGUGCGGAAGAAUCCUAUGUAUGCAGGCUGCCUGCAAAUUGUCCUGAGACUUAACCCGGACAUGCCAACUUUGGAGACAGUCCAAAGAAUACAAAGGCAGAAAGAACUGGGAGGAUCAAACGGACACAUUCCUCUGAAAUGUAAGCCCACAUGCAAAUCAAGCCACAAGAACGUCCCUGGAUAACUCACACUUUAUCAAGGAAUAAUAUCCAGCUCAAAUUUACAAGGAAGAAUCACAGGUUUGUGGCAACUAACUCCCAACUUUUCAGUCUGAAACCCUCGCUGGGAUAAAGCUAACUCUCCCCACCUGAGGGCAGCUGAACACAAUAGAGAAGCUCUGGCAGGAUCUCAAGGAACUGAAGCACCACCUUGCAAUAAGUCAGUAAAGCCAAAUUCUAGCACAUAGCUCUAAGACAAGAUACAAUCUCUAAUUAUUCUAAUCAUUUGUUUUUGCAGAACACAUAAGAGUGAGCUGAAGAAAUGAGAAUAUCUUGAAGACUCCGAGACGAAACACAAAGCCAAACCCAAGUAUCUGUAGCAAGUUGACUCAAAUCCUUCUUGAAAGCAGAUGUAAGAUAAAUUUUAAAAUAAACCAAAUGCAAUCACUUUGGAAAAACA